rnacentral:lncRNA from 1 species
AAAGUAAUAGUUAAUCUGUAUAAAAAGUUUAACUGUUUAUCUAUCAAUAAUGAAAAAUAAAAAUUCUUUUAACAUUUAUACAAUAACAACAAAAAAUCACUGCCCAUAUCCUUGUAAGAUGGUUGGCAGUAUUCAAAAAAGGGGGAGAAAAAUUCAAAUGUCACCAGUCAGAUGUCAUCAUACAUUCCUAUCUUUACACAUUAUAUCAAUUUCCUCUACAGUCACUCUGUUUUUAUAUAUAAUCACCUCUUAUAAACACUCUGAAAUCCAUAGUUUCUCAAAUACUCAUCUACUCUUUCCUUGGCCUUUUUCACAUCUGUGGAGCCUUAUGGAUGAUCAGACAUAGGUUUCAGCUUUAAAUGCCUUAGUCAGGAUUUCUGACACCAGCUGAGUUUGUGUGUCUCAGCAACACAGUUGUCUAUGGCCGAAGAAACAGUUGUGGCAUGGAUAAGGACAGGGCAGAAGAUGUGAAGCAUGCCGGACUGAUGGACGAAACUGACAGGCAUUAGUUCUUGUUGCAGAUAAGGAUGAGUGAUGAGGCUAGGCUUUACAACACAGACUACAGUUUAAAUAAACCAAUAAUUUCCUUUAUUUAAAAGAGAGAUUUCUUCAUAUUAUUAAGUUGCG